rnacentral:rRNA from 1 species
CGGCGGACGGGUGAGUAAUGACUAGGAAUCUGCCUGGUAGUGGGGGACAACGUUUCGAAAGGAACGCUAAUACCGCAUACGUCCUACGGGAGAAAGCAGGGGACCUUCGGGCCUUGCGCUAUCAGAUGAGCCUAGGUCGGAUUAGCUAGUUGGUGAGGUAAUGGCUCACCAAGGCGACGAUCCGUAACUGGUCUGAGAGGAUGAUCAGUCACACUGGAACUGAGACGCGGUCCAGACUCCUACGGGAGGCAGCAGGU